rnacentral:lncRNA from 1 species
AGAGGUCUUGGCACAUGCUAGGGUACCUCGAUAUACGUAACAGAAUCAACAGAAUGCAGCGCUACAUUACACUGACAUCUAGAUUUAGUAACUCUACUUGCAUCGAGGCACCCCAUCACGAUAUCGCACAUUACAAGAGCUUCUGAACGUCAUUUAAUCUCUACAAGGUCAGUGUAAUAAGUUCACUUGCUGAACAGGAAGUCUGGAGUAGCAGUUGUACAGGGAACACCUGGAAGUACAGACUGCAGACUACAAAGUUCAGUUAAUGUGUGGUCGUGGUCCAUUCACUAAAUGCAAGUGUUCCUGGCCUCUGCAAGCUCUUGCCAAGCCGUGCCUUGGCGGCACACUAGUAUUGCAACGAAAUUGCAAAUUUUAUGAAAUCUUGCAGUAUAUCUGUCCCAAUAAUGUCUUGCAGUGUUUUGGCACGACCACUGGUAGUAAUCACUGCCCAGCUGAUGGAUUGCUUAGGAAUGUUCAAUUCCAUAGCACUCUAUGUCAUAAGCUGUAUCUUUUAUCUGGAGACAAAUUCUUUACUUGGACAUAUUUUACCUUACUGAUGUGGUAUAGCUUUGCUGCCAGAAAGUGCAUGUACACAGCUGUAAUCUCAGUGCACAUUAAGCCCUUAAGCUAAGCAAGGGCAUGCCGAUCACUCCCACUAUUCCUAUGCUGGCUCAGUUAUCCCUAUGGAAGCUGAUGGACAUAUUGGUGCAAGACUUUCCCUAAGCAAAGCUUCAAGAGCUGCUGUGUACUUCUUUGAAGGCAUACAAAAGCAUUUGUGAUCGCUUUUUUAACUCUUGUAACUGCUGCAGCGCAAGUGACGCUGUCACUGGUGGCAUCGCACACGAGGAAGGCAGCUGCACGCUGUUGACUCAAAAAUUGUUUUUAAUAAAGUUGGUGUAUAAACAUACAAAAAUUGGUCACACUCAAACUGCAAAAAAGAAA